UUUUUAUUACUUUAUUUUUAUUUGGUUUUUUAUUUUAUUUUAUUUUAGUUUAUAAUUAAAUAAUUAUUUAUUAUUACUGAAAAGGCUGAGUUUAAAAAUUUUUUAAUUAAUUUUUUGUACCUUUUGUAUCAGGGUUGAUUUAUUUUUUUAUAUAUAUUUUAUUCCCGAAUCAAAUUGAUCUUUUUUAAUAUUUAUUAUUUGUUACAUAAAGUUUUAUAAUUUUAAUAAAGAAGUUAAAAGUUAAUCGUUUUUUGUUAUAUCUGGUUAAUUAAUAAUAAAUUUAAUUUUAAUUAUUUUUUGUAAUUUAAUAGAUGAGGGAUAAUCUUCAUUUUUAUUUAAAAUUAAAUUUUUUUUGUUUUUCAUAUAAUUUAAAUUUUUGACUUAGUUUUUAAUAAAUUAGAAUUUUUUAUUAUGAUUAUUUUAUAUUUAAUAUUUUAUUAAUUUUUUUUAUUUAAUUUUUAUUUAUUUGUAAUAUUGAUUGAAUUAGUAUAAUUUUUAAUUUUAUUAUAAUGAAUUCGGCAAUUUAAAUUUUCAAUUGUUUAACAAAAACAUUUCUUUUAGUAAUUUAUUUAAAGUAACAUCUGCUCAAUGAUUAAUUUUAAAUAGCUGCAGUAUUUUGACUGUACAAAGGUAGCAUAAUAAUUAGUCUUUUAAUUGAAGUCUGGAAUGAAUGAUGAUAUGAGAAAUUUACUUUAUUUAAUUUAUUAUUAAAAUUUAAUUUUUAAGUGAGAAAGCUUAAUUAAUUUUUUGGGACGAGAAGACCCUAUAGAACUUUAUUUGUUUAUUUAAUAUUUAUUAUUUUUUGUUUAUAUUUUUAUGUUAAUUUAAUAAAUUUAAUUGGGGUGAUUAUUAAAUUUAACUUUAAUUUAAAUUUUCAUUAAUUUAUGAUUUUAUGAUCCUUUUUAAGAUUAUAAGAUUAAGUUACCUUAGGGAUAACAGCGUAAUUUUAAUGGUAAGUUCUUAUUUAUAUUAAAGUUUGCGACCUCGAUGUUGAAUUAAGAUAAUUCUAAGGGGUAGUUUUUUUAGUGUUAAGUCUGUUCGACUUUUAAUUUCUUACAUGAUUUGAGUUCAGACCGGUGUAAGCCAGGUCGGUUUCUAUCUUAUAAUACAUAAAUUAUUUUAGUACGAAAGGACCAUUUAAUUCAAUAUUUAAUUGUUUUUAU
rnacentral:rRNA from 1 species